rnacentral:rRNA from 1 species
UACGGGGGGAGCAAGCGUUGUUCGGAUUUACUGGGCGUAAAGGGCGCGUAGGCGGUCAGCACAAGUCAGUUGUGAAAUCUCCGGGCUUAACUCUGAAAGGUCAACUGAUACUGUGCGACUAGAGUGCGGAAGGGGCAACUGGAAUUCUUGGUGUAGCGGUGAAAUGCGUAGAUAUCAAGAGGAACACCUGCGGCGAAGGCGGGUUGCUGGGCCGACACUGACGCUGAGGCGCGAAAGCCAGGGGAGCGAACGGG